GUGUCAGCCGCCGCGGUAAUACGGAGGGUGCGAGCGUUGUUCGGAAUUAUUGGGCGUAAAGCGCACGUAGGCGGCCCGUUAAGUCUCAUGGUGAAAGGCCGGGGCUCAACCCCGAGCAUGCCGGGGAUACUGGGGGGCUGGAGACAGGUAGAGGCCAGCGGAAUUCCGGGUGUAGCGGUGGAAUGCGUAGAGAUCCGGAAGAACACCGGAGGCGAAGGCGGCUGGCUGGACCUGAUCUGACGCUGAGGUGCGAAAGCGUGGGGAGCGAACAGGAUUAGAUACCCCCGUAGUCC
rnacentral:rRNA from 1 species